rnacentral:rRNA from 1 species
UACGAAGGGGGCUAGCGUUGCUCGGAAUGACUGGGCGUAAAGGGCGCGUAGGCGGUUCGUACAGUCAGACGUGAAAUUCCCGGGCUCAACCUGGGGGCUGCGUUUGAUACGGGCGGGCUUGAGUUCGGAAGAGGGUCGUGGAAUUCCUGGUGUAGUGGUGAAAUGCGUAGAGAUCCGGAGGAACCCCAGGGGCGAAGGCGGCGCCCUGGCUCGCAACUGACGCUCAGACACGACGGCAUGGGGAGCGAACGGG